rnacentral:rRNA from 1 species
UGCCAGCAGCCGCGGUAAUACAGGGGGUGCAAACGUUGCUCGGAAUUAUUGGGCGUAAAGCGCGUGUAGGCGGUUUAUCAAGUUGACUGUGAAAGCCCAUGGCUCAACCUUGGAAGUGCAGUCAAAACUGAUAGACUUGAGUCCCGGAGAGGAUGGCAGAAUUCCCAGUGUAGAGGUGAAAUUCGUAGAUAUUGGGAGGAAUACCGGUGGCGAAGGCGGCCAUCUGGACGGGUACUGACGCUGAGACGCGAAAGCGUGGGGAUCAAACAGGAUUAGAUA